rnacentral:rRNA from 1 species
GAUGAGCGCUGGCGGCGUGCCUAAUACAUGCAAGUCGAGCGAACAGACGAGGAGCUUGCUCCUCUGACGUUAGCGGCGGACGGGUGAGUAACACGUGGAUAACCUACCUAUAAGACUGGGAUAACUUCGGGAAACCGGAGCUAAUACCGGAUAAUAUAUUGAACCGCAUGGUUCAAUAGUGAAAGACGGUUUUGCUGUCACUUAUAGAUGGAUCCGCGCCGCAUUAGCUAGUUGGUAAGGUAACGGCUUACCAAGGCAACGAUGCGUAGCCGACCUGAGAGGGUGAUCGGCCACACUGGAACUGAGACACGGUCCAGACUCCUACGGGAGGAAGCAGUAGGGAAUCUUCCGCAAUGGGCGAAAGCCUGACGGAGCAACGCCGCGUGAGUGAUGAAGGUCUUCGGAUCGUAAAACUCUGUUAUUAGGGAAGAACAAAUGUGUAAGUAACUAUGCACGUCUUGACGGUACCUAAUCAGAAAGCCACGGCUAACUACGUG